UUUCGGGUCCCGCGCGUCCAAGGGCUCACGAACCCCGCCAGGGUAGAGAUACAGCAACGGUAGUGAGUUUGCGGAGUGUGCGGGGAAACUCGAAAGCC
rfam:Candidatus Chloracidobacterium thermophilum B chromosome 1, complete sequence.